rnacentral:rRNA from 1 species
UACAGAGGUCUCAAGCGUUUGUUCGGAUUCAUUGGGCGUAAAGGGUGCGUAGGCGGCGCGGUAAGUCGGGUGUGAAAUUUCGAGGCUUAACUUCGAAACUGCAUUCGAUACUGCCGUGCUCGAGGACUGGAGAGGAGACUGGAAUUUACGGUGUAGCGGUGAAAUGCGUAGAUAUCGUAAGGAAGACCAGUGGCGAAGGCGGGUCUCUGGACAGUUCCUGACG